rnacentral:lncRNA from 1 species
CAACCAUCAUCUUCCUCCUGCUUGCAGUGGCCGGGUGCCUUCAUCCAUCACCUUGGCCUGUCUUGCAGUCAGCUCCAUUGGGUAGGUGGUACCAUGGCCCCAUCCUACAGAUGAGAACACUGAGCACCAGAGAGGGCCCAAUCACCUCACUUGGAAUCCACCAUUGCUACCUGCUGCCGGCACCUCCAAAGGCUGCUUGGUUUCCACCUGCCCACCUCCUCCUCCUCUGCAGAGCCCCUGGCCUCCUUCAGAUUCUUGGCUCCUGGUUUGUGCCUGCUCUUCUGAAGCUUCCCUGACAUGCUGGAUUACCCAUCUCCUGCCUGAAUGUGACGCCUGCUCACCUCAGGAGCCUCACCCUCCAACUCGGGGACCCAACGAGCAGGGACAGCCCGGCAGCGCGAGGUAGGAGGGAGAGGACAGGGAGCUGGCUAGCCAGACAGACCGAGGUUCAGAGUCUUCGUCCUCCCCUUGCAAAACGUGCUGCUGGAAAGUCACUGGACUCCGUGCCUCCAUUUGCUCAUCUGUAACUAGGGCCAAGGAGAAUGCCUUCCUCGUCCUGGCCUUGUGGGUUUGAGAGGACGCAGUGCCUGUGAGCUCUCGGCACGCGAGAGUGCCUGUCAGCCCGGCACGCGGCAGAGUAUCGAUCCCAUUUCCCUCCUCUUGAGCACCUCGACUCUCCCCGACCGCUCUCCUCCCUUUCCUCUUCCUCAUCAGUGGCCCAGCCUCAGUUUCCCCAAUGGAGCAUUCUCAAAGCUGAUCAGACCCCUUACCCACACACUCCCCCAAGCCUUGAAGAUGGGAGAAGGCAGAACGGGUGUCGAUGACAAUAGCCUGGUCUCCCCUUCUGGGGUGUCUGUCCCACUUGCUGCCUGAGACUGAGGGUGACAGACAGCAGGCCCUGCCCAAGCAGAGGGAGAAAGCAGAGAACUGGAAGAAGCGAGAGAUGUAAGCUGGGGUUUGCUCAAAUGAGGGGGACUGCUUCCUGCCUGGUGACUGGAGUGCCACCACUGGGGGGCUUAAGGAGGGUCCCCUCAACGUACUUGAGUGUGGGCAGGCGGGCCCUGCCCCACAAACCCCCGUCCUGGUCUGUCUCUGCUGUGUAUUGAAACGGGCUGAAUGGUGUCC